GUUAAUCAUCUCAUCUUUGAACGCAAAUUACACUUUCUUCUAUUCCGGACACUAUGCCUGUGUGAGCGUCACCUAAAUAAAAAUCGGUGUUGUUGCUGCCUUUCCUGGUGCCGCGUCGGCAUUGGGUCGUCUUACCUUCGGUUAAUUGACUUAAAAUUUUUGCAUGCUUUUCAAUCGCAUUUAAAUCUCUUACGUACGUUUGAUAUAUUUCAUGCUUAUUAGCUUCGGUCCUUCCCAU
rnacentral:misc_RNA from 1 species